GAGUUUGAUCCUGGCUCAGGAUGAACGCUGGCGGCGUGCUUAACACAUGCAAGUCGAACGGGAAUAAAUUUCAUUGAGACUUCGGUCGAUUUAAUCUAUUUCUAGUGGCGGACGGGUGAGUAACGCGUGGGUAACCUGCCUUAUACAGGGGGAUAACAGUCAGAAAUGGCUGCUAAUACCGCAUAAGCGCACAGAGCUGCAUGGCUCAGUGUGAAAAACUCCGGUGGUAUAAGAUGGACCCGCGUUGGAUUAGCUAGUUGGUGGGGUAACGGCCCACCAAGGCGACGAUCCAUAGCCGGCCUGAGAGGGUGAACGGCCACAUUGGGACUGAGACACGGCCCAGACUCCUACGGGAGGCAGCAGUGGGGAAUAUUGCACAAUGGGGGAAACCCUGAUGCAGCGACGCCGCGUGAAGGAAGAAGUAUCUCGGUAUGUAAACUUCUAUCAGCAGGGAAGAAAAUGACGGUACCUGACUAAGAAGCCCCGGCUAACUACGUGCCAGCCGCCGCGGUAAUUC
rnacentral:rRNA from 1 species